AAGUCGUAACAAGGUUUCCGUAGGUGAACCUGCGGAAGGAUCAUUACCAAAUCCAAAACCUUAUCAACACCCAAACUUGUGCACUGAGAGUGGUCCGUUCUCCUCGGUACUUGUCUCUCUCUCUUCUUUUCCUCCCCCCUCCAAAAGGGGGAGAAAAAAAGAGAGAACAUCAAGGAGGAGGAGAACGCUUUUUUUUUCAACCCCUUUUCAACCAUUAUCUUAACCAUGUGAUGCUGAAAGCAAAAAAAAAACGAAACAUGAGACAACUUUUAACGGUGGAUCUCUUGGCUCGU
rnacentral:misc_RNA from 1 species